GUAUAAUUGAGGCCUAAGUGGAGUUUCCACCUAGAAUGGAUGGUGACCAUGGCCACAAUGCACCUUUCUCUGAGCCAGGGGGGAAUGGUGGUCCUCCCCCAACCAAGGGAGGGCUCAUCUAGGUGUGCAGGUUGGGGACACCAACAGAGACGCUGUGAGGCAGGGAGGAAGAAGGCUUGCCCCUUUUCCUCAUUGUGAAUCCUAAAAACCGGCCCCUACACGUUGUCCUGCAUUUGCUUAUGGUACAGACACAUUGUCUUAGUCCAUUUGUGCUGCUGUAACAAAAUAUCUGAGACUGGGUAAUUUAUAGAGAACAAAAAAUGUAUUUCUUACAGUCCUAGAAGCUAAGAAGUCCAAGAUCAAGGGCACCAGCAUUCAGUGUCUGGUGAGGGUCUUCUUACAUGUCGGAAAGUGGAAGAGCAAAAGGGAUGAUCUCUCUCUCUCUGGAGGCUCAUUUAUAAGGGCAUUAAUCCACCCCAAAAGAGCCCACCUCUUUGCACCACUACAGUGUAGAUUAUGUUUCAACAUGAAUUUUGCAGGGGACGUCAACAUUUAAACCAUAGCACACAUCAAAGUAAAUCUGGAAGCACGACAUGGUUGACAUGUUGAAUUUCAUGUGUCAACAUGACUGGGCCACAGGGUGCCCAGGUGAAAUAUGACUUUGGGCUGUGUCUGGGAGGGUGUUUCUGGAUGAGAUUAGCAUUUGAACUGGUGGACUCAGUAAAGUACGUGGCCCUCCUUAAUGUGAGCGAGCCUCAUCCAAUUGUUUGAAGACCUGAAUAGAACAAACAGCAGAGAAAGGAAAAAAAAAUAUUGCCACCCCCUUUUCUUUAGCUAGAUCAUCUCAUGUCAUCUUCUCCUGCCCUCAGGCUUGGAUUUAUACCAUCAGCUUCCCUAGCUGUCAGUCCUUUGGACUUCAGACUGAAUUAUACCAUCGGCUUUCCCAGCUAUCCAACUUGCAGAUGGCAGAUAAUGGGACUCCUCAGCCUCCAUAAUCAUAGUCUCUCUCUUGUCACCCAGGCUGGAGUGUAGUGGUGCAAUCUCAGCUCAUCGCAACCUCUGCCUCCCAGAUUCAAGCAAUUCUUCUGCCUUAGCCUCCCAAGUAGCUGGGAUUACAGGCCUGUACCAUCAUGCUCAGCUAAUUUCUUGUGUUUUUAGUAGAGACGGGAUUCUGCCAUGUUGACCAGGCUCGUCUCGAACUCCUGACCUCAAGGUCCACCUGCCUCAGCCUCCCGAAGCGCUGGGAUUACAGGCAUAAGCAACUGCAUCCGGUCAAUUAAUUUAUCUUUACAACAGUCUUGAAGGUAGCUCCCAUAUCCAUUUUACAGACGAGAAAGCAGAGGCGCAGAGAAAUUUAACCACUUGCCUGAGAUAACCCAGUUAAUCAGGGUGAGAGCUGGCAUUGGAACCAAAGGAAGUAU
rnacentral:lncRNA from 13 species